rnacentral:tRNA from 4 species
GCGGAUGUGGCGGAAUUGGUAUACGCGCAUGCUUGAGGUGCAUGUCCCGCAAGGGGUGGAGGUUCAAGUCCUCUCGUCCGCACCA